UCAGGAAAGGAUUCUUUACUCUAAACCCUAAAUAUCGCUAGAAAAUUUUAGGCAAAAAAAGAUUGGGGAAUAAGAUGUUGAAUUUCGAAGAACAGUGUAACAUAUUGAACUUGUUGAAAUCGUCAUCUGAGAAAAAAUCAAUCGAAGAAACAGUCAAUGAAUUCUUCAGCAAUUCCAAGCUCCGUCAUUUCAAUGUCUGCUAUUCUCUUUCUUUUUUAUUGCAGGUGAUACACUUGGUUCUUUUGUAUAUGUUCCAUGUGAAGUGAUUAAGCAACACAUGCAGGUUCAAGGCUUAGGAAACUCUUGGAAUUCGGCUAUCAUGAAUGACCAAUUGCGAAUGAAAUCUGGUGAACAAAUGUAUGGUUAUUACACUGGAAUGUUCCAAGUUGGAUGUUCAAUAUGGAAAGAGCAAGGACUAAAGGGAUUAUAUGUUGAGUCAAGGUCGUCGAUUCUUGGUGAGCCGUUAUUACAAAAGGUUAAAGAGAGCUGCACUCGUCGCACAAUGUGCUUGGAGAGCAAAACUUGCGCGUAGAGAAUUACGCAAACUAA